AGGGAGACUCGCUCGGGCCACGUCCUGCGUUGAGAUCAGGGCCGGGCUGGGCUUGCAGAGCCUCUGUCCCCUCGCCCUGGGCUGGGCACAGCCAGUCCCGGCCAGCGGCUCCGUGCCCGAGCCCGGGGACAGCCCGGCGGGCUCUGCCACACGCACCGGGCACCAGGGUCACCCGGUGCCCCGACUCUGCGGUCUGUUUUCUCAGACAGGCUCCUGUUACCCCCCCCCCCGCAUCCCGGUUCUUCACACUCGCUGUCUGGUCACCCUGCCCGGCACCUGGCACCGGGCACCGUUCCCCUCCCCGCAGGAGGCUGGUUUUUAAAGCGGGCGGGCGGGCCCUUGGGGAAAUACCUUGUACUUACCGUGGUGACUCCAGCCACUCCUGGGUACCCCUCCCUCUGGGCUGGGCUGUUAGCACGCUGCCUAUCUGCUACUGCACAUUGUCAGGCUCGGCCUAGGGGCCAACUGCAAGAAGAAUAUCAGGAUCAAAACACACCAAGCCAGCAGCUCAGCCGUUUCUGUUAUCAGCGUGUACGAACGUUACUUGCUACUUGAUCUACAGAGGAAAACUGAAGAGAGAAGAAUUUAUCCCAGUGCAAGCAGCUGAGGUGCCAGCUGUAGAGAACCUGACGAGAUGGAUGACAGACACAAGUGUGCACACGAGGGGCAUUGAAAGCAGAGGAAGAUAGUUUGGCAGGACAUUCUGCAUUCAGAGAGUGGGCGAUGGACGUUCCCGGGAUUGACCUGUUCUCUUGUAUAGGGAGAGAAAUGUCCAUUGAAGAAUCUGACUUGCACUUGCAAUCCAUUCGGGGUGCUAAGACUUGGGUCUGGAUCUUAUUCAUGGGGGACACAGACUGUGUUUUAAAAGGGAGACGACGCAAAGGGUAGAGAGGAAACAGCAAUAAACAA